AUUGAACGCUGGCGGCAGGCCUAACACAUGCAAGUCGAGCGGAUGAAGGGAGCUUGCUCCUGGAUUCAGCGGCGGACGGGUGAGUAAUGCCUAGGAAUCUGCCUGGUAGUGGGGGAUAACGUCCGGAAACGGGCGCUAAUACCGCAUACGUCCUGAGGGAGAAAGUGGGGGAUCUUCGGACCUCACGCUAUCAGAUGAGCCUAGGUCGGAUUAGCUAGUUGGUGGGGUAAAGGCCUACCAAGGCGACGAUCCGUAACUGGUCUGAGAGGAUGAUCAGUCACACUGGAACUGAGACACGGUCCAGACUCCUACGGGAGGCAGCAGUGGGGAAUAUUGGACAGUGGGCGAAAGCCUGAUCCAGCCAUGCCGCGUGUGUGAAGAAGGUCUUCGGAUUGUAAAGCACGUUAAGUUGGGAGGAAGGGCAGUAAGUUAAUACCUUGCUGUUUUGACGUUACCAACAGAAUAAGCACCGGCUAACUUCGUG
rnacentral:rRNA from 1 species